GGGAAGNAACGCCAGUGGCGAAGGCGCUCUNCNNGCCGCANCUGACGCUGAGGGACGAAAGCUAGGGGAGCGAAAGGGAUUAGAUNNCCCCNGUAGUCCUAGCCGUAAACGAUGGACACUAGGUGUUGGACGUAUCGACCCGUUCAGUACCGCAGCCAACGCGUUAAGUGUCCCGCCUGGGGAGUACGCACGCAAGUGUGAAACUCAAAGGAAUUGACGGGGGCCCGCACAAGCGGUGGAGUAUGUGGUUUAAUUCGAUGCAACGCGAAGAACCUUACCAGGGCUUGACAUCCCGCGAACUUCUGUGAAAGCGGAAGGUGCCUUCGGGAGCGCGGAGACAGGUGGUGCAUGGCUGUCGUCAGCUCGUGUCGUGAGAUGUUGGGUUAAGUCCCGCAACGAGCGCAACCCUUGUCCUUAGUUGCCAGCAUUAAGUUGGGCACUCUGGGGAGACUGCCGGGGACAACUCGGAGGAAGGUGGGGAUGACGUCAAGUCAUCAUGCCCCUUACGUUCUGGGCUACACACGUACUACAAUGCUCCGGACAGAGGGCAGCGAGCGCGCGAGCGUAAGCUAAUCCCAUAAACCGGGGCUCAGUUCAGAUUGCAGGCUGCAACUCGCCUGCAUGAAGGAGGAAUCGCUAGUAAUCGCAGGUCAGCAUACUGCGGUGAAUACGUUCCCGGGCCUUGUACACACCGCCCGUCACACCAUGGGAGUUGGCCACGCCCGAAGUCGUUACUCUAACCUUUCGAGGAG
rnacentral:rRNA from 1 species